rnacentral:rRNA from 1 species
ACUCCUACGGGAGGCAGCAGUGGGGAAUAUUGCACAAUGGGCGAAAGCCUGAUGCAGCGACGCCGCGUGAGGGAUGACGGCCUUCGGGUUGUAAACCUCUUUCAGCAGGGAAGAAGCUUAAUCGUGACGGUACCUGUAGAAGAAGCACCGGCUAACUACGUGCCAGCAGCCGCGGUAAUACGUAGGGUGCGAGCGUUGUCCGGAAUUAUUGGGCGUAAAGAGCUUGUAGGCGGUUUGUCGCGUCUGCUGUGAAAACUCGGGGCUUAACCCCGAGCCUGCAGUGGGUACGGGCAGACUAGAGUAUGGUAGGGGAGACUGGAAUUCCUGGUGUAGCGGUGGAAUGCGCAGAUAUCAGGAGGAACACCGAUGGCGAAAGCAGGUCUCUGGGCCAUAACUGACGCUGAGAAGCGAAAGCAUGGGGAGCGAACAGGAUUAGAUACCCUGGUAGUCCAUGCCGUAAACGUUGGGCGCUAGGUGUGGGGCUCAUUCCACGAGUUCCGUGCCGCAGCUAACGCAUUAAGCGCCCCGCCUGGGGAGUACGGCCGCAAGGCUAAAACUCAAAGGAAUUGACGGGGGCCCGCACAAGCGGCGGAGCAUGCUGAUUAAUUCGAUGCAACGCGAAGAACCUUACCAAGGCUUGACAUAUACCGGAAACACUCAGAGAUGGGUGCCCCGCAAGGUCGGUAUACAGGUGGUGCAUGGUUGUCGUCAGCUCGUGUCGUGAGAUGUUGGGUUAAGUCCCGCAACGAGCGCAACCCUCGUUCUAUGUUGCCAGCGCGUCAUGGCGGGGACUCAUAGGAGACUGCCGGGGUCAACUCGGAGGAAGGUGGGGAUGACGUCAAAUCAUCAUGCCCCUUACGUCUUGGGCUUCAAGCAUGCUACAAUGGCCAGUACAAAGGGCUGCGAUACCGCAAGGUGGAGCGAAUCCCAAAAAACUGGUCUCAGUUCGGAUUGGGGUCUGCAACUCGACCCCAUGAAGUCGGAGUCGCUAGUAAUCGCAGAUCAGCAACGCUGCGGUGAAUACGUUCCCGGGCCUUGUACACACCGCCCGU